rnacentral:tRNA from 1 species
ACGCCCUUAGUUCAGUUGGUAGAACGUAGGUUUCCAAAACCUAAUGUCGUGAGUUCAAGUCUUACAGGGCGUG